GCAAAUCCCCUGUAGUAAAAGUCUCCAUAACACAUCUCAUCAUAUGAGCAGACACAGACACAGUAUCCCACAAACACAGAAAAAAAAAAUGGUAAGAAAAGAAGGUUAAAAAUAAAAUAAAUUUGCUUUCAUAAUUUCAAAGAUGAAGUAAUUUUGAUGGCAUUGUAUAUAAUAGUAGUAAUUGCAAUAUUCAGAUGUAAUGGCCAUAAGCAAAGCAAUCACAUCACAUGGUCUCGUACUCUUGGUCAUUUCCUUUUUGUUGCUUGCUACUUUCCCUAAAUCUUCCCCUUCACGCAGAGCUCCUCAACACCCCACACCACAUUCAAAAAAAAAAAGAGCCCAUCUUUGAUUGCAAUCCUCUUUGUAUCUUCCUCUACUGUUCAAACCUGGAUCACCGUCAGAUUACUGUCUCCUUUUUCAAUUGUUUAUUGUGGGGCGGUACGUGUAUAUCCUAUGUGAUGCUGGUGAAGAGUUUGUCAUUCGUAUUAUAGCUCUGGCGACGUUUUGAUUGUUUUUUUAUUGUAUUGUUGAUCUGGGGUAUGCGCGAAUUUGAAAUCUUGAUUCACUGGUGGUGAAUUGUGGAGAGCGGAUCGGGGAAAGAUGCGGAGGCGGGCGGCCGACUACCGGCGCCCGGUUAGAAGAAGGUUAUCGCAGUGGAUCUGUGCGCUUCUUGGGAUGUUCCUGAUUGCGGGGCUAGUUUUGUUUGUGUUUCACCACCAUCACCAUGAAGAUCAGGUUACGCAGCCCAUACAGGAGAACCAUGCAAGACCAGAGCCAGUUAACCAUGAAGGUUUAAACUUCACUAAGGAAAUAUUAAGUGCUACCUCAUUUGCGCGGCGGGUGGCUGAGCAAAUGACACUUGCCAAGGCUUAUGUCAUUAUUGCAAAGGAGCACAAUAACCUUCACCUUGCAUGGGAGCUGAGCAAUAAGAUCCGAAGUUGCCAACUUCUGCUUUCAAAAGCUGCCAUGAGAGGGGAGCCCAUAACACAAGAAGAAGCAGAGCCAAUAAUCAGUAGUCUAUCAUAUCUAAUCUUCAAGGCACAAGAUGCACAUUAUGAUGUAGCAACUACCAUAAUGACAAUGAAAUCUCAUAUUCAAGCCCUUGAAGGACGUGCAAAUGCAGCAACAGUUCAGAACACAGUAUUUGGGCAAUUGGUGGCUGAAGCUUUGCCCAAGAGCCUGCAUUGCCUAAAAGUAAAGCUCACAACUGAUUGGCUUAAGAAGCUGCCCCUUCAAGAUCUUGCAGAGGAGAAAAGAAAUUCACCAAGAGUUGUGGAUAACAAUCUCUAUCACUUCUGCAUAUUUUCGGACAAUGUGCUGGCUACCUCUGUGGUUGUCAACUCCACGAUCUCCAACGCUGACCAUCCAAAACAGCUAGUCUUCCAUAUAGUCACAAAUGGAAUCAGCUACGGAGCUAUGCAGGCUUGGUUCCUAAGCAACGACUUCAAAGGGGCCACCACAGAAGUGCAGAAUGUAGAAGAGUUCUCUUGGUUGAAUGCUUCUUAUGCUCCUGUUGUCAAACAGCUUCAUGAUGAAGAUUCACGUUAUUAUUUUUCAGGUUAUCAGGAUGUGAAGGAAGAGCCAAAACUGUGGAAUCCCAAAUACCUGUCUUUGCUGAAUCAUCUUCGCUUUUACAUCCCUGAGAUCUAUCCACUACUGGAAAAGAUAGUUUUUCUUGAAGAUGAUGUUGCUGUCCAAAAGGAUCUUACGCAACUUUUUUCAUUAGAUUUGCAUGGAAAUGUCAAUGGAGCUGUGGAAACUUGCCUUGUAGCAUUUCAUCGCUAUUACAAGUAUCUCAAUUUCUCAAACCCUAUCAUCAGCUCAAAGUUUGACCCACAGGCAUGUGGAUGGGCUUUUGGUAUGAAUGUUUUUGAUUUGAUUGCAUGGAGAAAGGCAAAUGUGACUGCGAAGUAUCAUUACUGGCAGGAGCAGAAUGCUGAUCAAACACUCUGGAAGCUGGGAACGCUUCCUCCUGCUCUUCUAGCAUUUUAUGGACUGACAGAGCCACUUGAUCGAAGAUGGCAUGUAUUAGGUUUGGGAUAUGAUAUGAACAUUGACAGUCGUCUGAUUGAGAGUGCUGCGGUUAUUCACUUCAAUGGGAACAUGAAGCCAUGGCUGAAGUUAGCCAUUGGCAGGUACAAGCCUUUAUGGGAAAGGUACAUAAAUCAAAGUCACCCAUAUUUUCAAGAUUGUGUCAUAAGUUGAAAUGUGCUACUUCCUGAUUAUGAUAAUUUAUGCAAUCUUCAAUACCCUCAAACGGUGAUUGCAUGGUAGAGUCAGAAGUAGAAAAUUUUGACUUAGUUAGGAGUUCUCUUUUUUUUUAUUUCCUCCUCUUCUUCUUCAUAGUUUCCAAAUGGGAAAAGAACAAGUUCUAUACAUUAGAGAAUUUAAAUUUACUGGGUGAAAAGGUGUGGAGAAUUCAUUUUUGGCUGAUGGGGUUCACUUUCCUCUUCUGCAAGCUGUAGAAAUUUUUGUUCCCUAGUAAUUCUUGUAAUAAUUUUUCAGAUCUUUUGGAUUAUAAUGUAAUUGAACAUCAACUGGAUUCUUGAUAUAACUGUGAGAGUUCUUAAAAUGUAAUUUUCACAGUUCCUUGAGCAUGAAAUUAUGCAGUUUUUUCCUUUUUUUUCCCCUUUCUUUUUUGAAUGUUUGGACCUUUACCAGAAAGAAAGUUCAACUCAGAAUUUGAAGGCCUCUGGUUCACUUGUGGUAAAGGCUCUUGCAAUGCGAUCCUCCAGCUUGGCAACUGCUUAAUUCAUUUUACAACAUUAAUUAAAAUUCUUACAAAAGAUGGGAAUUCAAUCAUUUUCACUGUUCUAUGGGAUUCAAUACCUGAGCUCUCAAAGGAGAAUUAAGGAGUUCUCAUCUUGCAGAGGCAAGCCAAAAGUAAGAGAGUGCAAACUACAAAAGCAAAACCAAAUCGAGGAUAAUUGCUCAAUCUACAGUUUCUUUCCAACUCCUCACGAUGGUCUGUUACAAUGCAGUGAUGUUACAGCAUUAGUUACCAAGUUUUGUGCUAAUUAAUCAAAGCUCGCUUCCGACCUGCCAACAUUUUGUCCCUAAGAAUAAGAUAAAAAUGAAAAAGGUUCUCAUCUUUAAGGGAUUCAACAUAGCAGUACUUGAAUACACAGCACCGAGAGUGUUCAAAAUCAUUCCUUUUACCUCACCAGCCUCCGACACUUUUUUUUUCCCGCUAUUAAAUAUGGGUCAAACAAUUAUUCAGCUAAAUGAUGCACCAAAGAUUAUAAACAUGGUUACUACGUUGAUAUUAUUAAAAGGCAAAUGAAAAACUAAUGGUUAAGGUAUAAGAAGAUUUUAACAUAUGCUCAACCUAUAUAAUGUAACAAAAAGAUUGGCUAGACUGAUCAAAAAUUGGAAGUGAUCUUAAUCAUACUUCUUUCAUCAUGUCACAACAUAAAUUUCUCUUUUGCACAAGAAAUAACCUUAAAUUUUUCUUCAGCUUCAAUUUGCUGGCGAAUGUCACUUCUUCAUGCUCGAUUUGGAUGGAACCUAACCAGAGCUUGUUUAUAAGCAGCACGUACCUCAGAAGACAAAGGGUAAAGACCACCUCCAAUAUUGAUUCCAAGGCCAUGAAGAAAUGAAGCCAUAUCUCUACAGUUAGCUUCCAGUUUAUCCAGUUUUGUCCUUACCUCAAUGCGAAUUUGCUCUUUCAAAUUCAGAGUUUCCUUAUCCUUUUUCUGUGCCUCUCGAACCUCUUCUACCCGCUGUUUUUGUCUUCUCUCUGUUUCCAAUAGACGUAGAGUUUCAGCUUUUCUUCUUUUGCGCAAACGCUGGGCUUCUUCUGCCUGACUUUUUAACUCUCUUUGUCUGGAUGUCCAUUCUUCUUCUUGAGCAAGUUUAUAAGCCUCAGUUUUCUUGAGCAUUUCUCUAUCACCAAUAAUAUAGUUUUGGACGUCAGCUGGAUCAUCUCUAUUUGAAAUAAAUAGAAGAGGAUUAUCUUCCACCUGUAGUUGAGUAUUUGCCAAAAGUUUGAAAGUGGUCUCUUUUUCUACUUGAGUGCUGCGAACAGGAGAUCUUUUACACAUCUCACUCCAGAUGGUCUCUUCCAAAUCUGCAUGCUGAUUCUUUCCAUUUGACUUAUUAGAAGUACCACCUGCAUCUUCAUCAAUACGUGCUGAUGGAUUGAAGUUACCACUUUCAUGAUUUCCAUAGGUUGAACAAGGAGUUGGCACUUCAGCUGUUUUAUCUAUGUCCACAUUAGUUUGAGAAUUGAUGUUAAUCCCAGCAGGACCCAUCUCAUCCCAAAAAACAGAUUGACGUUUUGGGGCAUUCUCAAACAUCUUCUUCCUCAAUGAAGCCUCUUCCCACAGCUGACGAAUAUUUCCUUGAUUAUCUUCCACGAUGUCACAAUCAGAAUCAUCAUCCUCAGAAUCAUCAUCCUCAAGUGAAAUACUAGAGGAAAAUUUUUGGUGAUAAAGAGAUGACUUUGAGGAUAGUUUCCUUCCCCGAUUACAAGAAAGCAGACAUCCCUUACUUGAGGUGAAAUAAGCAUUUUGACUUCCACCCCCUUCAAAACCAUCCAGAGAACAGCCACAAUGACCACUUUCAAAAUCAUCAUCAGCAAUACAAAUAACGUUCCUAUAUGCCUGUAUUUUGUCCUUUCCAGAUAUGCUAGUAUCAGGAGAGUUCCCUUCUGAAGUUUCUGGGACAUCAAUCAUGAUAAAAUUAGGGCUUUUGUCAGUGUCAAUGUCAAUAACAUUAUUGGCUUUUCCCUUUGAUUUGCACCUUUCUAAAGCUCUCUUCUGAGAAUCAGUUCUUCGCUGAGACAGCCUCCUUGACAUUCUUUCUGCUGUUAUCUAUUUCACAAUUUACCACAGAUGAAAACGUACAUGAGUUACAAAAUUUAUGGCAUUUUACUAUCAGUUGGAAAUAGUCCUUCCUUGUCAUUUUAUAUAGCCAUCAUGAUUUCGAUAAUUGGACAAGGAUUCCAUCUUCCCAGAACAGUCCAGCAAAUUUUUAUUAUUUAUGGUUUUGGAUACAUUAAAGAAAAUACCACAUAUAAGAAUAACAAGUGCCACCAAGUCUUGCAAGUUCUUUCACAGACAUGGGUUCAAUCUCCACCCCAAAUGGAACAUCUUUUGAUUGUUUACCAGGGGAAGAUAGAAAUGAAGGAAAGUCGUGGAGCUGAAAUUUUAUUUUGAAAUCUGAUUAGGGUUUGAUAAGGAAUCAAAUCUGUAAAUAUAGGGGUUUAAGUGGUCGACCAUCCAUGAAAAGUCAAGCACUGUGCUACAAGAAUUUUGCCCCGUUGCUUCUUUCUCUUUUCGCUUUCUUGACAAUUUUAUGGCUUCUUCCUA
rnacentral:misc_RNA from 1 species